UACGUAGGGUGCAAGCGUUGUCCGGAAUUAUUGGGCGUAAAGAGCUCGUAGGCGGUGUGUCGCGUCGGCCGUGAAAACCUGCAGCUUAACUGUGGGCUUGCGGUCGAUACGGGCAUCACUGGAGUUCGGCAGGGGAGACUGGAAUUCCUGGUGUAGCGGUGAAAUGCGCAGAUAUCAGGAGGAACACCGGUGGCGAAGGCGGGUCUCUGGGCCGAUACUGACGCUGAGGCACGAAGGUCAGGGGAGCAAACGGG
rnacentral:rRNA from 1 species